AUGGGGGAAACCCUGAUGACAGACAACGACCGCGUGAGGUAUGAAGGCCUUUGGGGGUGAAGCCUCUGUGCCUAGGGGAAGAAAAAAAUGACGGUACCCGAGGAGGAAGCCCCGGCUAACUACGUGCCAGCAGCCGCGGUAAUACGUAGGGGGCAAGCGGUUAUCCGGAAUUAUUGGGCGUAAAGAGUGCGUAGGUGGUCUACUAAGCGCGAGGUGAAAGGCAAUGGCUCAACCAUUGUUAGCCUUGCGAACCUGGCAGACUUGAGUGCAAGAGAGGAAAGCGGAAUUCCUAGUGUAGCGGUGAAAUGCGCAGAUAUUAGGAGGAACACCGGCGGCGAAGGCGGCUUUCUGGAUUGUAACUGACACUGAGGCACGAAAGCGUGGGUAGCAAACAGGAUUAGAUACCCUGGUAGUCCACGCCGUAAACGAUGAGCACUAGGUGUCGGGACAUGAGUCUCGGUGCCGCAGUUAACGCAAUAAGUGCUCCGCCUGGGGAGUAUGCACGCAAGUGUAAAACUCAAAGGAAUUGACGGGGACCCGCACAAGCAGCGGAGCAUGUGGUUAAUUUCGAAGCA
rnacentral:rRNA from 1 species